rnacentral:rRNA from 3 species
GACGAACGCUGGCGGCGUGCCUAAUACAUGCAAGUCGAACGAACUCUGGUAUUGAUUGGUGCUUGCAUCAUGAUUUACAUUUGAGUGAGUGGCGAACUGGUGAGUAACACGUGGGAAACCUGCCCAGAAGCGGGGGAUAACACCUGGAAACAGAUGCUAAUACCGCAUAACAACUUGGACCGCAUGGUCCGAGUUUGAAAGAUGGCUUCGGCUAUCACUUUUGGAUGGUCCCGCGGCGUAUUAGCUAGAUGGUGGGGUAACGGCUCACCAUGGCAAUGAUACGUAGCCGACCUGAGAGGGUAAUCGGCCACAUUGGGACUGAGACACGGCCCAAACUCCUACGGGAGGCAGCAGUAGGGAAUCUUCCACAAUGGACGAAAGUCUGAUGGAGCAACGCCGCGUGAGUGAAGAAGGGUUUCGGCUCGUAAAACUCUGUUGUUAAAGAAGAACAUAUCUGAGAGUAACUGUUCAGGUAUUGACGGUAUUUAACCAGAAAGCCACGGCUAACUACGUGCCAGCAGCCGCGGUAAUACGUAGGUGGCAAGCGUUGUCCGGAUUUAUUGGGCGUAAAGCGAGCGCAGGCGGUUUUUUAAGUCUGAUGUGAAAGCCUUCGGCUCAACCGAAGAAGUGCAUCGGAAACUGGGAAACUUGAGUGCAGAAGAGGACAGUGGAACUCCAUGUGUAGCGGUGAAAUGCGUAGGUAUAUGGAAGAACACCAGUGGCGAAGGCGGCUGUCUGGUCUGUAACUGACGCUGAGGCUCGAAAGUAUGGGUAGCAAACAGGAUUAGAUACCCUGGUAGUCCAUACCGUAAACGAUGAAUGCUAAGUGUUGGAGGGUUUCCGCCCUUCAGUGCUGCAGCUAACGCAUUAAGCAUUCCGCCUGGGGAGUACGGCCGCAAGGCUGAAACUCAAAGGAAUUGACGGGGGCCCGCACAAGCGGUGGAGCAUGUGGUUUAAUUCGAAGCUACGCGAAGAACCUUACCAGGUCUUGACAUACUAUGCAAAUCUAAGAGAUUAGACGUUCCCUUCGGGGACAUGGAUACAGGUGGUGCAUGGUUGUCGUCAGCUCGUGUCGUGAGAUGUUGGGUUAAGUCCCGCAACGAGCGCAACCCUUAUUAUCAGUUGCCAGCAUUAAGUUGGGCACUCUGGUGAGACUGCCGGUGACAAACCGGAGGAAGGUGGGGAUGACGUCAAAUCAUCAUGCCCCUUAUGACCUGGGCUACACACGUGCUACAAUGGAUGGUACAACGAGUUGCGAACUCGCGAGAGUAAGCUAAUCUCUUAAAGCCAUUCUCAGUUCGGAUUGUAGGCUGCAACUCGCCUACAUGAAGUCGGAAUCGCUAGUAAUCGCGGAUCAGCAUGCCGCGGUGAAUACGUUCCCGGGCCUUGUACACACCGCCCGUCACACCAUGAGAGUUUGUAACACCCAAAGUCGGUGGGGUAACCUUUUAGGAACCAGCCGCCUAAGGUGGGACAGAUGAUUAGGGUG